rnacentral:rRNA from 1 species
GAUGAACGCUGGCGGCGUGCCUAAUACAUGCAAGUCGAGCGAACAGACGAGGAGCUUGCUCCUCUGACGUUAGCGGCGGACGGGUGAGUAACACGUGGAUAACCUACCUAUAAGACUGGGAUAACUUCGGGAAACCGGAGCUAAUACCGGAUAAUAUAUUGAACCGCAUGGUUCAAUAGUGAAAGACGGUUUUGCUGUCACUUAUAGAUGGAUCCGCGCCGCAUUAGCUAGUUGGUAAGUUAACGGCUUACCAAGGCAACGAUGCGUAGCCGACCUGAGAGGGUGAUCGGCCACACUGGAACUGAGACACGGUCCAGCCUCCUACGGGAGGCAGCAGUAGGGAAUCUUCCGCAAUGGGCGAAAGCCUGACGGAGCAACGCCGCGUGAGUGAUGAAGGUCUUCGGAUCGUAAAACUCUGUUAUUAGGGAAGAACAAAUGUGUAAGUAACUAUGCACGUCUUGACGGUACCUAAUCAGAAAGCCACGGCUAACUACGUG